rnacentral:rRNA from 1 species
CCUGUUUAACAAAAACAUGUCUUUUUGAGUUAUUUUUAAAGUCUGACCUGCCCACUGAAGUUAUUUAAAUGGCCGCAGUAUUCUAACUGUGCAAAGGUAGCAUAAUCAUUAGUCUUUUAAUUGAAGGCUGGUAUGAACGGUUGGACGAGGUAUAAGCUGUUUCAUAUAAAUUUAUAAUAGAAUUUUAUAUUUUAGUCAAAAAGCUAAAAUUUAAUUAAAAGACGAGAAGACCCUAUAAAUCUUUAUACUUCAUGUUGUUUAAAUUUUUUAGAUUAAUUUUAUUUUUAUAGUUUGAAGUAUUUUGUUGGGGUGAUAUUAAAAUUUAAUGAACUUUUAAUUAUUAAAAAUCAUUAAUUUAUGAAUUAUUGAUCCAUUAGUAGUGAUUAUAAGAUUAAGUUACUUUAGGGAUAACAGCGUAAUUUUUUUGGAGAGUUCGUAUCGAUAAAAAAGUUUGCGACCUCGAUGUUGGAUUAAGGUAUAUUUUUAGGUGUAGCCGCUUAAAU